GCCGUUCUCCCGAUACCUCCUCUAAUAAGAUAUCGGAUAACUACAAUUGUUUGUCAAAAUCUCAAACUUGAAAAUAAUUGAUGAGCGAAACACAGACGUUGUUCUAAUACGCUGUACUGGAUUAUGUUUGAGAAUAAAAAGUAUUCCAUCUCUUAAAAUUUCCUGGCUAAUGUCUCAUUUCCCCCUCCCUUUCUUUGGAACGAGUUAUCCACGAAUCGAUCUAGAUGAAACAGAAGAUAGAUUCCGGAGGAUCUGCAUAAGUUCAUAGUAAAAAACAUCUCACCAG
rnacentral:lncRNA from 1 species